rnacentral:rRNA from 8 species
UUAAAUUGAAGAGUUUGAUCAUGGCUCAGAUUGAACGCUGGCGGCAGGCCUAACACAUGCAAGUCGAACGGUAACAGGAAGCAGCUUGCUGCUUUGCUGACGAGUGGCGGACGGGUGAGUAAUGUCUGGGAAACUGCCUGAUGGAGGGGGAUAACUACUGGAA